UGGCGGACGGGUGAGUAAUGUCUGGGAAACUGCCUGAUGGAGGGGGAUAACUACUGGAAAUGGUAGCUAAUACCGCAUAACGUCGCAAGACCAAAGAGGGGGACCUUCGGGCCUCUUGCCAUCGGAUGUGCCCAGAUGGGAUUAGCUUGUUGGUGGGGUAACGGCUCACCAAGGCGACGAUCCCUAGCUGGUCUGAGAGGAUGACCAACCACACUGGGACUGAGACACGGUCCAGACUCCUACGGGAGGCAGCAG
rnacentral:rRNA from 1 species